UACGGAGGGUGCGAGCGUUGUCCGGAAUCAUUGGGCGUAAAGGGCGCGUAGGUGGCUUCUUAAGCGUGCGGUGAAAGCCUGGGGCUCAACCCCGGGUCGGCCGUGCGAACUGGGGGGCUGGAGCACUGUAGAGGCAGGCGGAAUUCCGGGUGUAGCGGUGGAAUGCGUAGAGAUCCGGAAGAACACCGGUGGCGAAGGCGGCCUGCUGGGCUAUGGCUGACACUGAGGCGCGACAGCGUGGGGAGCAAACAGG
rnacentral:rRNA from 1 species